GGAGGGGUGGCAGAGCGGUUGAAUGCACCGGUCUUGAAAACCGGCAAGGGUGAAAGCCCUUCGAGGGUUCGAAUCCCUCCUCCUCCGCCA
rnacentral:tRNA from 3 species